GGAAGUCCAGGAUGACGUCACUGGGAAGACAAUAGGAGACGAAGACUUGGAGGAGGGGAGGGAGGGAGCCAUGGGAGGUCUGGGGCUAAGAGCAUCCCAGGUAAAGGGAAGAGCAAGUGCAAAGGCCCUGUAACAGGAAUGAGCUUGGCAUCUUUGAGGAAAGUUCAGUGGGGCUGUGAAGACAUAAGACGGGGAUGGGGCUUAGGUUGAAGAAGCAGAAGGGGCAGAUCUUUGAGCUCUGAAGGGAGCGAGGAGUGAACAUGGAUCCCCGUGUAGACCAGACAGUGUGGCUUACAGCAAGGAGGAAGCCGUUCUUGGCGGUGGUAAAUACGUACGUGACGGUGACGCAGAAGUCACAACCGUAUGGGCAGAUCACAGGUGAGAAAGAAUGCCGGAGCAUCUAGAAGGAAGCCAUUCUCAAGGUUACACAGCCCUCACACGGAGGGCUCUUUGCACGUCACUGGAUUAAAUGCCAACAUGCCAUUGAAAAAUAUCAGUACCUUGAUCCGUAAUUUUCUCUUCAACAGCAAAAUACAGAAGCUCAAGUUUCUAAUGAGGGUGUUUCAAAAUUAAACAAUAGUUUGACAUUGGAUUCUC